UACAGAGGGUGCAAGCGUUUAAUCGGAAUUACUGGGCGUAAAGCGUGCGCAGGCGGUUCUGAAAGUCAGCUGUGAAAGCCCCGGGCUUAACCUGGGAACUGCGGUUGAAACUACAGGACUAGAAUCUGGCAGAGGGGGGUGGAAUUCCACGUGUAGCAGUGAAAUGCGUAGAGAUGUGGAGGAACACCGAUGGCGAAGGCAGCCCCCUGGGCUGAGAUUGACGCUCAGGCACGAAAGCGUGGGGAGCAAACAGG
rnacentral:rRNA from 1 species